GGGCAGACACACUGAAGUCGCUAGACAUUUGAGGAACACAUCCGGGGAAGAAGACACAGGUGGCUGGUCAUGGAGAGCCCGCUGGGGGAAGAGCACACAGACAGGCACCGGCAGGCCAUUGACCAGCGGGACAAGGCUUUGGUAUCAGGAUGAUGCUGGCCUCAUAAAAUGAGUGAGGGAGGAUUCCCUCUUUUUCUAUUGAUUGGAAUAGUUUCAGAAGGAAUGGUACCAGCUCCUCCUUGUACCUCUGGUAGAAUUCGGCUGUGAAUCCAUCUGGUCCUGGACUUUUUUUGGUUGGUGGGCUCAAUGUCAUCACAAGGGUGCUUAAGAGGGAAAGAGGAAGCCAUGAGGGUCAGAGUCAAAGGAAGACUUGAAGAUACUACACUGCGGACUUUAAAGAUGAAGGAAGGGGCGAAAACCAAGAAUGUGGGAAGCCUCUAGAAGCUAGAGAAGGCAAGGAAACAAAUUUUCCACUAGAGCCUCCAGAAGGAACACAGCCCUGCUGACCCACUGUAAUGUCUGACCUCUAGAUGUGUAAGGGUAGUAAGACUGAAAGUCUCAGAAAGGCACUGUUAAAUUCUUAUUCCUCAACUAUGCAACUCAAAACUGGGGUCCUCAGCAGUGAGCGAGGGGUGAGAGAAGACACUGUAUAAACAUGGCACAUCCUCCUGGAAAGUCAACUUUACUCAAAGGCUGCAGGCCGUAUUAUGCUAAAUCAAGGAUACGGGGAGAUAAUUAACAUAGCAACUCUGGCAAUUUUAAUAGAACCGCUGCAUUUAUUGAAGUCAUGAGCCCGUAGUCUAUCUUUAGACUCCUGAUGUAAUUUCUGAAUCACCAACCAUUUCUGAGACCACAAGAUAUUUAAAAAUAAGAUAAGAAAUAUUGACUGAGACUCCCUGAAGCCUGCAAGGGAAACGAAGAUACCGCGGCAGAGGUUUACAGUGGAAUUUCUCUCCUGUAGUUCGUGCACAUUGAAAAUGACAUGAUCUAUCCCAAGGAAUAGCUUAAGACCUGAUCCACUUAAACAGCUCCAAGUGAUUUAUCAUAAAUGUGCUUAUUUGGAAGGUUUAGCAGUAACCGCUUAUGGGAGGUGGUGGGGUUAACUACCAAAAUUGUACAUAACUUGGAUCCUGUGUAUGGCAAUUAAUCAAGAAAUUAUAUUCUUUGACUUUCUAACAACCCACACAGAGUGCUACAUCUGUGGCAUGUUUAAAGAGAGAGCGAGGGAUGAAAUAUUUCUUCUAAUAAAAUGCUAAUGGCUUUGUUUUGGAGAAAAAAUAUUGGAUUAUUGUGGUGUUAGAUUUAUCUGUAUGAGGAUUUCUCGAGUCACAGUCAGUAAGUACUUCUGACAGAAAACCAGCUAUGUCCUGAAUACAAUAUCCCAGUCUUCUAAAUGACUUCAGGAUUAUGGAGAGGCCCCUUUAUAAUACUGAAGAAAGAACACAGGAAUAAAUGGUGUGAUAGAGAACUGUAGCAGUCGAAGUUAUUACUGUGAGCAUUUGUUAAAUGUUCAAGAGUAUUUAUUUAACCCAAAGCACAUUGGAAUAUGUUAAUUAAGACAGGUGAGGCAUCCCAUUGAUUUGUGGUGUCUCAUGGGCAUAACUUGCACCCACUUAGUUGCUCUAGUCCUUAGGUUUUCAAGAUUUUGCGGGGAUGCCUACUGUGGUUAGGAACCCAGAGCUCACUCCUUGGAGGGUUAGUUUCACAAAUUCAAUAUCUGAAAACCUAAAAGUACCAUCAUCUAAAAAGAAAAAUUUGGGGCAACAAAAGCGCCAAAGUAUAAUGUCAUUUUCAUUCCUAUGAUCCUUUGUGAUGUGGUUCAAAUGGCUUAUUUUAAUAUUUCACUUUUCAAUCAGUAGCUUUUUAAAAAUGACAAUUUCACAAAUGCUUAUGGAGCAUCUACUUUGUGCCUACACUGGCCAAGAGACAGAAAGAUGGAAUAAUACCUGACUUCUACCUUUUAAGAUCUCAUAGUGCAGCAAAACAGAGAGCUGUAGCAAAUAUUUGUAAUGUGAAAAGAGCAACACUCAUGAAACAGUCCAGUGCUGGACACUUACUGUAGUAGAGACACUGCAUCAAUGAUUCUCUUUUACAGGCAAGGGAACUGAAGCUUGUAGAGAGGUUAGAUCACACAGUUAACAAGAAGAGGGACAAGCAUUUACCGGAAGCCCUGUGUGGUUCUGGAUACUCACAUAGUGCUUGCCAGACGCCCGGCAUUGUGUUUAGGGCUUUACACUCAUGACCUCACUCGGUCCUCAUGACAACCCUAUGCAGGGGAUACUAUAAUUAUCCCCAUUUCACAGAUGAGCAAACUGAGCUCUGAGAAGGAGCAACUUGACCAAGGUCAUGUAGGUAAUGUCAGAGCAGCAAUUUGAAUAUAGGCUCUUGACAACUAAACUUUACUGCUGUGAGAUGUAGAGGCAUUUCUGCCUGGAGCUGCGGGAAGGUACAGAGAUUAGGGCAAAUAAAUUAUAAGAAGAUUAGAAAUAUGGUCUUGAUAAGGACUUUGAAGAUAAUGCUUAUAUCAGACUUCCUUCUGAUCUGAGUCAAUUGAAGGAUGUAUUUUUGAACCUUUCAGAAAUCUCUCUAUAAGUUAUAGAUCUGAAUUUUAGUGAGAAUCUAUUCCAUUCCUCGGAGUGCGAAAAUCCAACACAAUGUCUGGGAAUUCAGACUUAUAAAAAUCAUACAGAAGUAAUUCUUAAAAAAUCUUUUAUUUUGAAGUAAUUGUAGGCUCAUAAGAGGUUGUAAAAAUAAGAGAGUUAUAGUAUGCCCUUCACCCAGCUUCCUCCAAAGUUAACGUUUUAUAUAACCAUAGUACAUAUCAAAAGUGGGAAAUAGACUUUGACAAAAUACUAUUCAUUAGACCACAGAUCAUAUGGGGAUUUCAUUAGUUUUUAGAUGCACUCUAUUGUUUUGUAUAGUUCUUUUCCAUUUUAUCACCUGUAUAGAUUUGUGUAACCACCAAGAAGUAAUUUGUUUUAAGCUGGCAUAAAGAAAAAAUAAAAUAAAUUGUUUUGAACAAUCUA
rnacentral:lncRNA from 1 species